rfam:Pichia sorbitophila strain CBS 7064 chromosome H complete sequence.
UACAAUGAUGAUCAAACAAAUAAAGCUGGAAUUACUGGCUGAUCUAUAUGAUUGAAAAACGUUUGCACCAAUACGCCCUGAUU